rnacentral:rRNA from 1 species
CAAUAGCGUAUAUUAAAGUUGUUGCGGUUAAAAGCUCGUAGUUGGAUUUCUGUUGAGAUCGGCUGGUCCGCAUUUUGUGCGUGUAUCUAGUACGGCCUUGGCAUCCUCUUGUGGAACGUGUCUGCGCUUCAUUGCGUGGUGCGGAAUGCAAGACUUUUACUUUGAGGAAAUUAGAGUGUUCACGGCAGGCAUGCGCCUUGAAUAUAUUAGCAUGGAAUAAUAAUAUAGGAUCUUUGCCCUAUUUUGUUGGUUUCUAGAGCGAAGAUAAUGGUUAAUAGGGAUAAUUGGGGGCACUCGUACUAGAGCGUCAGAGGUGGAAUUCUUAGAUUGCUCUAUGACGAACUACUGCGAAAGCAUUUGCCAAGGAUGUUUUCAUUGAUCAAGAACGAAAGUUUGGGGAUCGAAGACGAUUAGAUACCGU